GGAACCUCAAGCCAGUCGGAAUCCGGGAUGUAACGUUCGUUCGGUUCAUCUUGGUGCUGAGUGAAAUUUCUUCUUGCUUCUCUAUUGCAAUUUCAAACAGCAGUGACGAGUAAUGUUGUGUGCACCUACCAAGUAGACUACUUGGAUCGAAAUCAGAGUGGGAAAAUAGAAGCCGGCCUACUUUUGUAACAUUUUCAUUUUGACAUACAGUGCAUAAAUAUAAAAUUGAACUUUGACAAGUUGGAGCUAUGGGAGAUCAAACUUUAUGGUGAAAAACAGGAGAAACUGACUGCAGCCCAGGUCCUACCAAUAACUCGAACUAGCACAGGAAAGCUUCCACCAACCCGUAACAUCACAUCGUCAUCUGGCGAUUUGUCGAACUCAUCAACACCGACCAGCAAUGGUAAUAGUGCCCCAGGUUCCAGUUUGGCGAACAAAUCGGCCAUAAUCUCUAGUAAGGCCUCGAGGGAGGAAAUAAACUAACAAAUGGUACAACAACUUCGGCUAGAGAGGGCUACCAGUGGUGGUAGUACAAGUGGUGCAACGGCUUUUUUGUCGGCCCCCAGUGACUACCACAUCUACGGUUCAGUCACCGCCGUCACAAACGUCGGUACAGCAGACAGUUGCAUCAACGGCGACAGCGACGGCUAUUCGUAGGGAUAUAUUUUUCCUGUAUAUCGAGCUUCUUUUCACAUCCAGUUUUAUUCCAACUACUAGCUGACGCGACGAACUUCGUCCCGCCCAAAAUAGAUUUUUUGAUUUGAAUACUUUCAAACAUCCACGUUUUCUUACUAAGUGAACGUUGAGUGCAAUCACUGAACUCUUCAUUGAUUGAUUACCCUUUGACCCUUUACAAUUUCCUUUUACUAUAAAUUGUUUAGUACUUCUACAAAAAUAUAUAUAAAGUUAUUUUCAGACACAAUUCUCGCUCAAGAUUCUUCAAGCAUGAAAUACAUGUUUGAUACAGAGAAUAUUACAGAAUAAAGACUGCUCAA